rnacentral:rRNA from 1 species
AGCGAACGCUGGCGGCAGGCUUAACACAUGCAAGUCGAGCGGGCACUUCGGUGUCAGCGGCAGACGGGUGAGGAACACGUGGGAACGUACCCUUUGGUUCGGAAUAACGCUGUUAAACUAGCGCUAAUACCGGAUACGCCCUUUUGGGGAAAGGCUUGCUGUCGGAGGAUCGGCCCGCGUCCGAUGCGCUGGUUGGUGGGGUAAUAGCCUACCAAGGCGACGCUCAGUAGCUGGGCUGAGAGGAUGAUCCGCGACACUGGGACUGGGAUGCGGCCCAGAAUCCUAGGGGAGGCAGCAGUGGGGAAUACAGGACAACCGGGGCAAGCAUGAUCCAGCCCUGCCGGGUGAGUGAUGAAGGCCUUAGGGUUGUAAAGCUCUUUUGUCCGGGACGAUAAUGACGGUACCGGAAGAAUAAGCCCCGGCUAACUUCGUG